UCCGCCUUUCUUGGCUCCAUGUGCUC
rnacentral:piRNA from 1 species